AGCAGUGUGGCUUAGUGGAAAGAGCAUGGGCUGAGGAGUCAGAGGUCCUGGGUUCUAAUCCCAGCUUUGCUA
rnacentral:tRNA from 1 species